GUGCCAGCAGCCGCGGUAACACCAGCGCCUCGAGUGGGGAUCGCGAUUAUUGGGUCUAAAGCGUCCGUAGCAGGCCUUGUAAAUGCUUUGUGAAAUUGUCUGGCCUAACCAGACAGCGUGCAGAGUAAACUGCAGGGCUCGAGACCGGGAGAGGUUAGCAGUAUUCCUAGGGUACCGGUAAAAUGGGUUAAUCCUAGGAGGACUACCAAUGGCGAAGGCAGCUGACCAGAACGGUUCUGACUGUGAGGGACGAAAGCUAGGGGAGCAAAACGGAUUAGAAACCCUUGUAGUCC
rnacentral:rRNA from 1 species